UACGUAGGGUGCGAGCGUUAAUCGGAAUUACUGGGCGUAAAGCGUGUGCAGGCGGUUUUGUAAGCCAGAUGUGAAAGCCCCGGGCUUAACCUGGGAAUGGCAUUUGGGACUGCAAGGCUUGAGUGCGGCAGAGGAGACUGGAAUUCCCGGUGUAGCAGUGAAAUGCGUAGAUAUCGGGAGGAAUACCGAUGGCGAAGGCAGGUCUCUGGGCUGACACUGACGCUCAUGCACGAAAGCGUGGGGAGCAAACAGG
rnacentral:rRNA from 1 species